AACAAUAUAAUUAAGUUGUGGAAUAGGCUGGUGAAGAUUGAAGCUAAACGAAAGGUGGCGGAGAAGAGUGAAAGGUGUAGACUGCUUUCCUUUUGCUGUUUGUAUUGUUAUUGGGUAGAGUUUGAUGUUUUGGAGAUUUUUGUCCACAUAUAGCUUAUGCACUCAUAUCACUAAUUCUUUAUAGAUAGCAACCACAUAAUACAAUCCAACACCAUCCUUCAAUCCACUAUCAUGAAUCACUAGUGAAAUAAAGUGUGUAACAUUUAACCACACAACAUGCACAUAUCUCCAAUUAAUACAGAUAGCAGAAACACAAACAACUUAAAUAUGGCAAACAUAGCACACUUCUUAGGCCACAAAUGAAAAAGAGAUAGGUAGAAGUGAGAAUAGAGAUACCCAACAGAAAUUAGAUUAAAAUAAUAGAAACACAGUGCAUAACUGCAUCUGCUGGAACACCCUUCAGAAUAAGUUAGAUAAAAAGAACUUCCCAGACGCAUAUAAAAAAGAGUUGAUCUUGAUCUUGGAAUUUGGAUUAAAACAUGCAUAGCCAAAAAACAUUACAUACUCAAAGCUAAUGAGUUUCAGCCAGCUUAGAGCCCAAAUCAAGAAGUAAGAAAUUUCCUAGUAACUCUAAAGCAUGUAAAUUUCAAGCCAGCCAAAUCCAAACAUCAGGACUUGUAUUAAGUACCAUCUUCAAUACCAGCUAAUCCUUCAAUGUUUAAACAAACAAAUUACAAGUAAUAAGAAAUCUAAUAAGCACCUCCAGUUCUUGGGGAAAGAAGGCGAGAUUCUCCGGAUGACGCCGCUGCCGCAGUGAAGAAAACUCGCGACCGCGGCGACAGCGAGGAAGAGCGGAGGAGCAAGCAAUUCGCAGGGUAUGCGGAGGAGUCGGUGCAACUGGACAAGUACGACAGCUGCAAGUUCCUUUUUGAGCGUUCCUAUCGAUUUGAACUCACGAGCAAGAGGAUUUAUGUAAUACCCCGUUCCUUUUUGCUAAGUUUAGAAUAAUUUUUGAACUUAGAUAUUAAGUUGAUUCACGUCGGAUAAAAGAAAAUAAAUUUAUUUUUAAUUCCAACAAAAAUGAUUUACAAAAUUAUUUGUAAAUUUAGUUAUUAAAUUUAUAUGCAUUGCAUAUUUAUUUAAUUUAGCAUUCAAGUAUUUUCACGAGCUAUUUAUUUAAGCAAACACUGAACGAUUAUUACAGUUUUCAUAGUAUAAACCGGAAAACUUUAUUUUAUUUUACUCUCCCACCUACCCCUCCCACACCCACCUACUCCAUUCUUUUUGCAAACUUUUGCAAACUUUAUAGCUGGUUGAUCCGAGCUUCAAUCUUCCAUUCUACACAAUUAUUCCACAUAUCUCAUCUCUCUCGCAAGAAAGGUUCAAGAACAUAAUCAUCCACCAUUCAAGUACUCACAACUCACAAGGUUUUAUCUUGAACUCCUUGCUUAUCCUAUUUUUUUUUAACAGAGAUUAAAGCCCUUAUUUUUGUGUUCCACAUUCUGAAAAAUCAGCUGCACAGACAAAGAAACGCACAUAUGCAUACAUCUAUUCUGUGUAUAUAUAUAAAUAUGUGUGUAUCCGCAUAAACAAUCGAACCAAGUUUUUAGUAUGUAUAACAAAAUUCAUUUACUGAUUUAAAGAAAAGACUUAUGUUUGUACAUAUGAAAGAAUCGACUUGAUAAAAGAGAAGUCUUGAAGUUUUGAUUUUGUUUCCCUGCCUUCGAUCAUGCUGUGUUGAGUCGAGUCAGGGGGGAUAAGGGUUGACGGUGGUGCGACUGGUUGUUACCAUCGGCGGCGACCCCGUCGUCUGUCGCCGGAAGUUUCAGAGAGGGAGUGGGAGUGGUGUGCUGACGGUGGCGGCGAGGAGUCGUCAUCGUCGCCUGAAAUUUGGAGGAGGGGGCGCAGCAACAGUAGCUUCUCGCUGCUGACUCACCGGACGUUCCAGAGAGGAAUCGGCGGCAGCGCGAUUUGGUGAGGAAGAGGGAGAUGGUGGUGGUGUCGUUGCAGUAGCCGGAGAGAGAGAUCGGAGGGAGGCAGCGGCGUCCGUCGUCGCCAAGGGGGAGAGGAAGAACAGAGGCUGUUCCGCCGGGUUCGGUGAACAGAGGGGAGAACGGCGGGCGGCUCCGGCUGCUGUUGGGUGCGGUGGGGGAAGAGUGAGAGGGAGACUUGAGGUGAGGAAAGGAGAGAGGUCGAAGGGAAGAGAGAGGAGGCGGAGCCGCCGGCCUCCGGGGACGGCGCUGCCGUCCGGUGGCGGCGGCAGGAGAGCGCAGAGAGCGAGAGAGAGUGAGCGGCUGAGAGGGAGAGAGAGAUAUGUUGUGUGCGUGAGAUGAAGGAGAGGGGAAAGGGUAGAGUGGGCUUGAGGGAUUUGGGCCGAUAUUUGGGCCGAUUUUUAUGAGUGAUGGGCUUCGAUUUUUAAUAGAUUUGGGCUGCGAUUUUUAAAAGCUUGGGCCGAUUUUUAUUUUAUUUAGCUGGGCCCGAUUUAUUUUAUUCAGUCUGGGCCAUUCCUAUUUUAUUGAGUUGGGCCUCAUCUUUUAAAUUUAUAUGGGCUAUUAUUUAUUUAAGCAUGGACUCUAUUUCAUCUAUUUAAAUGGCUUCCCUAUUUUAUUAAACUAGACUAUUAAUUAGUUUGAUUAAUUAUUUUUAAAGACUUUGGAUUGCCUUCAAUUAAUUAAAUUGAGUUUCUUAUUUAAUUAAUUGAUAUUAUUAAUUUGACUAUUAUUUAUAGUUUUCAUAAUAAUAUUAAAUUAUUAUUAUGUGCAUAUUUUAAGUAAAUUACUUAUUAUAUGCUAAGCAUGACAUGAAAUUGCAUUAUAUUUUGCAAUAAAAGAAUUUAUGAUUUAAUUGGUUUUAUUUAUAAUUCCAAUUAUUAAAGAAAGUCGAGUAAGAAUAUUGUUGGUGUUCUUAACUCAAGAGAAAUGUUUUCAAUUAUUUAUUCAUUAAAUUUUGAAAACCCGGCUAAGUGAAUCAUAGAAUAUUAAGCACUACACCAUGACUUAAGAUUAGCUUCAAGAGACCUAUUAAGAAUAGAAUUUCUUGUAGGCUUUGUGACCAGGGGGAUUAGCGCUGUUUUCCCAAGACAGGUUUAUAUGUGUUAUGAUCUUCAGGCUUUGCCUAGCCAGGUGGGCAUUACUUUCCAAAUGUACAAAGUAUGAUUGAGUUAUUAAGCUCUAAAUAUUUCAAUGAAAUGCAAAUUAUUUAUUUAAUGUAAUGAAAACUGUUUAUCCAAUAAAAUGAUUUAUGUGCACUCUGCUCUGUUUAAGGCUCGCGCAGUUAAUCAAUUGAGGUUCUCUUAUGACCUAAUACGUUGUUUGAGAAUUGUGUACACUUGUUAGUUGACUCGGUGGGUUGAUCUCCAUCGGGCUCUAACCAGAGGCGUUAUAAGGGUGCUCGGCUGGAUGUGUUCCGGAGCAUGAGAAAUAUCAGGCCUGCCUGGGUAGCGUCCCGAGGUCAAUUCAACUUGUCUGAGUUACGCCCUCAGGGCAAGUAAGCGGGAGACAGAGAUCCGUCGUGGCUAAAGGUCCGGGAUCACAGCGAGUAACAGAAAGGGAGUGUGACAUGUGCGCACAAAUGAAAGAAAAUGUUUUAACAUGCUUAGAAGUACUUCUUUCAAUUUAAAACCUUCUAAGUCAUGUCAAGUAUGAUUGGAUAAACUGUCUUUAUUAAAAUAUGAGAUGUUUCAGAAAAUGCAUGCCCACUAAGUACAUUAGUACUUAGCCCAAAAAUACUUUCAAAUGUUUUCAGGUUGGCUGGCCGGUGCUGACGGGACGGAGCUGAGGCUAGCGAUAAAUUCCUAUGUUAGACUUCCGCUGUAGCAAUUACUCAUAUCAGUCUUUUGUUUUCCCAACUUAAGAUCUUCAUGUUAAAUUUCAAAUGAUAUACCUGACCGAGCUUAGACUCUUCACUACUUAAUUUAUGCCAAUGAAUGUCAGUUGUCAGAAGCAUGAAACAAAACUUGUGAUCCAAAGGGGCAUAGCCCGACUUUCUAUCCUAUUUCGGGUUUUUACAAGGUUGUUCCUUGUUUAUUUCUAUGAAUUAUUUAUACCUCGAUUAUAUUUAUUCUUUCAAGAAUUGGGGUGUGACAAUUUAAUACUUCCACAACCUACAGAUUACUACCAAAGUUAAACAACAUCCCAAGAUAAAAAUACAUAAGACGGGACGGGAGUGAUUCAAAUAAAAACCAUCUUUUUGUGAGAACUCUACACUAAACUUAUAAAGUAACUGCACUGAGCAAGCCUAUAAGUAACUACAUUGGACUCUACAAUCAGUGAGUUAGCAAAUAUUGUGAAUUACUUAGAGAUUCAGUGCAGUAGGUUCAUUGUAGAAUUCUGACCCUUGUCACAAUAAGAAGGUUUUUAUUUAAACCCACCCACUUCCUCACAUGACAUUUAUAAUGGACGCUACCUUUUCAUGUAGGAGCAUGAUCGCGAGGACAUCUUGUCGAGCCUUCCAAUCGCAGUAUUGUAUAUCGUAUCGAGCCACCUCUAGAGCUUGAUAUGCAUCCAAGAACUUUCACUAUUGGAUCUCUUUAUAAAAAGCUUGCUUUGUCCGAAGCUGAACCCCCGAUUCUACGACGACUCCCCGCCUUCCCUAGAUGAAGAAGACGACAGCGAGGAGGAAAGCUCCGCCGAAUGGACUCGAGAGUUGCGACCUCCGCGUCUUAAUCCCAAAAUCGCCCGGCGAUUGAUCAUCCGCCAGCAAAAUUGAGCUGCUAAUCUCAGGAAUCUGGACCUUCAACUUCAAUCCGAACAACAACAGCCGAUUAAUCGACUUCGAGAAUUUGCAGUCGCAGCCGCCGCCGCUCCGAUCGUCGGCGAUCGAGUCAAUUAGGGCGAGCCCGAUCAAUUUGUUGGCAGCGGCGAAGUCGCGGUGGGUAUUGGUGGCAGACGGAGGCUAAAGUCACAACAGAAUGAAGAGAAAUCCUAUGCAUUUCCCUCUACAUCUCUCGAGAUUCUGAGGAACAACUACACAAGCAAGCUGCGCAAAGGGAAUGGCAAAAAACUACACGGGCUGAGCUCCGAGAGGGCACAACACUCGCCUCCCGCUGGAUCCCUAAGAAUCACCGCCGCUGGAGCACCGCCCGCUGGAGAACGCCGCGCUGCUGGAGUACCGCUGAUGGAGAAAGGAACUCUGUUGCCGUCGCUGGAGAGGAAAGGUAGCCGCCGCCGCCUUCAAUUUCUGGGGGAGAGAAAUUAGAAAAACUCAAAUUCACAACAGAUCUGGGGAAGAUCUGUCGAGAGAGAGAGAGAUCUGUCGCCAUCUCCUCUGUUGAUCGCCGACCAGCUCGUCCCUAGAAACGACGGUGCGUCGGUGAGAUCCUCCACAGCUGCCGCGGAAUUCGAAGUGUUGCCGCACUCAUCCUCCUCUACUUCGAAGGAAUUGGUGGCGGGCGGAGGCUAAAGUCGCAGCGGGGUGAAGCAGGAGAUGACGAGGGCGGCGGCGCUUCGCGGCGGGGGGCGAAGCAGGAGAUGGCGGAGGCGACGAGGUCGAGGCGGUGUAGAUCUCGUUAGGCGGUGGCGCAGAGGUCGGCAUCGGAGAGUGUGGCGGCGGUGGUGAAGCAGGAAGUGGUGGAGGAAGAGAGAGGUGGUGGCGGCGGCGGUAGUGUGAGAGAGAGUAUUUCAGAAAAAUGGUUAAUUUUUAUGUUUUUAAAGUUAAGGGUAUUUCCGUCUUUUCAAUCAAAAAGUGGACAAUUUUUAUUAUUUUUAUCUUAG
rnacentral:lncRNA from 1 species